UUUCAUAUGCUGUGGCAGUACUGUAGACAGUGAGGUUUAUCCAAGGUGCAAUUAUUGCUACUUGAAAAGUAAGAUUAACAGUGGGAAUUUGUACAAUGUCUCACAGGAU
rnacentral:snRNA from 1 species